ACGGAUGUGGCGAAAUUGGUAACCGCGCUAGUUUUAGACUCUAGUAACGUUUUAGUUUUGAGAGUUCGAGUCUCUCCAUCCGUA
rnacentral:tRNA from 1 species